CGAAGAGUCGAGUUGUUUGGGAAUGCAGCUCUAAGUGGGUGGUAAAUUCCAUCUAAAGCUAAAUAUUGGCGAGAGACCGAUAGCGAACAAGUACAGUGAUGGAAAGAUGAAAAGAACUUUGAAAAGAGAGUGAAAAAGUACGUGAAAUUGUUGAAAGGGAAGGGCUUGAGAUCAGACUUGGUAUUUUGUAUGUUACUCUCUCGGGGGUGGCCUCUACAGUUUACCGGGCCAGCAUCAGUUUGGGCGGUAGGACAAUUGCAAAGAAAUGUGGCACUGCCUCGGUAGUGUGUUAUAGUCUUUGUCGAUACUGCCAGCCUAGACUGAGGACUGCGGCUUCGGCCUAGGAUGUUGGCAUAAUGAUCUUAAGUCGCCCGUCUUGAAACACGGACCAAGGAGUCUAACGUCUAUGCGAGUGUUUGGGUGUAAAACCCGUACGCGUAAUGAAAGUGAACGUAGGUAGGACCUCCUUUAGGAGUGCACUAUCGACCGAUCCUGAUGUCUUCGGAUGGAUUUGAGUAAGAGCAUAGCUGUUGGGACCCGAAAGAUGGUGAACUAUGCCUGAAUAGGGUGAAGCCAGAGGAAACUCUGGUGGAGGCUCGUAGCGGUUCUGACGUGCAAAUCGAUCGUCGA
rnacentral:rRNA from 1 species